rnacentral:rRNA from 1 species
CCUACGGGCGGCAGCAGUGAGGAAUAUUGGUCAAUGGGCGAGAGCCUGAACCAGCCAAGUCGCGUGAGGGAGUACUGCCCUAUGGGUUGUAAACCUCUUUUGUCGGGGAGCAAAAGCCGGACGUGUCCGGCUGUGAGAGUACCCGAAGAAAAAGCAUCGGCUAACUCCGUUCCAGCAGCCGCGGUACUACGGAGGAUGCGAGCGUUAUCCGGAUUUAUUGGGGUUAAAGGGUGCGCAGGCGGAUUUUUAAGUCAGCGGUCAAAUCGUGGGGCUCAACCCCAUCCAGCCGUUGAAACUGGGGAUCUAGAGUGUGCGAGAGGUAUGCGGAAUGCGUGGUGUAGCGGUGAAAUGCAUAGAUAUCACGCAGAACCCCGAUUGCGAAGGCAGCAUACCGGUGCACAACUGACGCUCAGGCACGAAAGCGUGGGUAUCGAACAGGAUUAGAUACCCCAGUAGUC